GCCCGUGUAGCUCAGGGGUCAGAGCACUCGCCUUGUAAGCGAGCGGUCGUGGUUUCGAAUACCACCGCGGGCUCCA
rnacentral:tRNA from 1 species